rnacentral:rRNA from 1 species
UAUUGCACAAUGGGGGGAACCCUGAUGCAGCGACGCCGCGUGAGGGAAGAAGGUUUUUGGAUUGUAAACCUCUGUCCUUGGUAAAGAAGCAAGACGGUAGCCAAGGAGGAAGCCACGGCUAACUACGUGCCAGCAGCCGCGGUAAUACGUAGGCGGCAAGCGUUGUCCGGAAUUACUGGGUGUAAAGGGAGCGUAGGCGGUUAUGCAAGUUGAAUGUGAAAUCUAGCGGCUCAACUGAUAGGCUGCGUUCAAAACUGUAUAUCUUGAGUGAAGUAGAGGCAGGCGGAAUUCCCAGUGUAGCGGUGAAAUGCGUAAAUAUACGGAGGAACACCAGUGGCGAAGGCGGAUUGCUGGACAGUAACUGACGCUGAGGCGCGAAAGCGUGGGGAGCAA